ACGCCGAGCGUGAGAGGAAGGUAUAAAGGGGAGCGAGAGGGCGGGACCGAAGAGGAAAGGGAAAAAAAAACCCUAGGGGGAGAGGGGUGGGGGGGACGCGCGAAGGGCGCGCUCUCGCAUCACGUGACCGGGACGCGCCGUUCUUCCGUCGGCCAUUUUAGGUGGUCCGCGGCGGCGCCAUUAAAGCGAGGAGGAGGCAAGAGCGGCCGCCGCUGGUGCUUAUUCUUUUUUAGUGCAGCGGGAGAGAGCGGGAGUGUGCGCCGCGCGAGAGUGGGAGGCGAAGGGGGCAGGCCAGGGAGAGGCGCAGGAGCCUUUGCAGCCACGCGCGCGCCUUCCCUGUCUUGUGUGCUUCGCGAGGUAGAGCGGGCGCGCGGCAGCGGCGGGGAUUACUUUGCUGCUAGUUUCGGUUCGCGGCAGCGGCGGGUGUAGUCUCGGCGGCAGCGGCGGAGACACUAGCACUAUGUCGGAGGAGCAGUUCGGCGGGGACGGGGCGGCGGCGGCGGCAACGGCGGCGGUAGGCGGCUCGGCGGGCGAGCAGGAGGGAGCCAUGGUGGCGGCGACACAGGGGGCAGCGGCGGCGGCGGGAAGCGGAGCCGGGACCGGGGGCGGAACCGCGUCUGGAGGCACCGAAGGGGGCAGCGCCGAAUCGGAGGGGGCGAAGAUUGACGCCAGUAAGAACGAGGAGGAUGAAGGCCAUUCAAACUCCUCCCCACGACACUCUGAAGCAGCGACGGCACAGCGGGAAGAAUGGAAAAUGUUUAUAGGAGGCCUUAGCUGGGACACUACAAAGAAAGAUCUGAAGGACUACUUUUCCAAAUUUGGUGAAGUUGUAGACUGCACUCUGAAGUUAGAUCCUAUCACAGGGCGAUCAAGGGGUUUUGGCUUUGUGCUAUUUAAAGAAUCGGAGAGUGUAGAUAAGGUCAUGGAUCAAAAAGAACAUAAAUUGAAUGGAAAGGUGAUUGAUCCUAAAAGGGCCAAAGCCAUGAAAACAAAAGAGCCGGUUAAAAAAAUUUUUGUUGGUGGCCUUUCUCCAGAUACACCUGAAGAGAAAAUAAGAGAGUACUUUGGUGGUUUUGGUGAGGUGGAAUCCAUAGAGCUCCCCAUGGACAACAAGACCAAUAAGAGGCGUGGAUUCUGCUUUAUUACUUUUAAGGAAGAAGAACCAGUGAAGAAGAUAAUGGAAAAGAAAUACCACAAUGUUGGUCUUAGUAAAUGUGAAAUAAAAGUAGCCAUGUCGAAGGAACAAUAUCAGCAACAGCAACAGUGGGGAUCUAGAGGAGGAUUUGCAGGAAGAGCUCGUGGAAGAGGUGGUGGCCCCAGUCAAAACUGGAACCAGGGAUAUAGUAACUAUUGGAAUCAAGGCUAUGGCAACUAUGGAUAUAACAGCCAAGGUUACGGUGGUUAUGGAGGAUAUGACUACACUGGUUACAACAACUACUAUGGAUAUGGUGAUUAUAGCAACCAGCAGAGUGGUUAUGGGAAGGUAUCCAGGCGAGGUGGUCAUCAAAAUAGCUACAAACCAUACUAAAUUAUUCCAUUUGCAACUUAUCCCCAACAGCGGGAACUUCAUUGCAGGCCCUGUGUCGCGCUGACUUCACGAUUCUCACAGGCCCGCUCAAUGCGGACAGGGUACGAGAUGCUCACGCUCUCGAAUGCUGCCGUUUGGUGGUGAAGCAGUAUUUUCCAAUUUGAAGAUUCAUUUGAAGGUGGCUCCUGCCACCUGCUAAUAGCAGUUCAAACUAAAUUUUUUGUAUCAAGUCCCUGAAUGGAAGUAUGACGUUGGGUCCCUCUGAAGUUUAAUUCUGAGUUCUCAUUAAAAGAAAUUUGCUUUCAUUGUUUUAUUUCUUAAUUGCUAUGCUUCAGAAUCAAUUUGUGUUUUAUGCCCUUUCCCCCAGUAUUGUAGAGCAAGUCUUGUGUUAAAAGCCCAGUGUGACAGUGUCAUGAUGUAGUAGUGUCUUACUGGUUUUUUAAUAAAUCCUUUUGUAUAAAAA